ACCUCGGAUCAGGUAGGAAUACCCGCUGAACUUAAGCAUAUCAUAAGCCGGAGGAA
rnacentral:rRNA from 1 species